UUGCAUACUCUGACAGAACUCAUGGAAAUACACAUCAGAAACUACAGCCGCUAAGAAGAUCCUUAAGCUUGUUCACUCUGAGAACCUGUGGUGUCUUUUUACAAUUACCUUGAAGACUGAUGCCUAUCAGGAGUGAGAUGGAAUUGUUUUCCAGUUGGAUUUUCAAAAAAGUUCCAUUCUUGUUCCAUUUGAGAUUGAGCUAUUGAAUCCAUUUUGAGCUGUUGAAUCCAACUCUUUUAGACAGCAGUUAAUGUGCUAUGAAGUAUAAAGCAUAUUCUGCAUCUUUGAAGGAAGAAUAUUUACAGGAAACAUGCUACACUCUGUUCUUUUUUCUUUAAAUCAAAGAGAAUGAAAACAUUUUAAGUGUUGGAUUGGAGUUCCCCCACUGUUUUUUUUUUUUAUAUCUUCUGAUGUCAAAUCACCUGAGAUCUUUGACUUUUCACUGGAUGUUGUUUAACUUUCUUGCACAUGCUCAGAUGGCAGGUGAUCACGAAUAACUGUGCUUUUGUUCAGCUGCAAUGAGCUACAGUACAUGUUACUGUAUGAAUGGAAAAGUACUAUGGUAGUCAAUGACUACUGUUAACAGUUUGAUUACUAAAACUGAUCAGAAUGUCUUCUUUGGUGUUCAACAGCUAAAAACAAAACCCUCAUAAAGGUUUGGAACGAGUGUAGGGUUUGUGAAGACUGAAGACUGGUGCUGAGGUGAUAAACCAAAGCCAGGCCUGCCUUGUUAUUACAUUACCAGCUAAAAACAAAACCCUCAUAAAGGUUUGGAACGAGUGUAGGGUUUGUGAAGAUUGAAGACUGGUGCUGAGGUGAUAAACCAAAGCCAGGCCUGCCUCGUUAUUACAUUAUCAGGAUUUGGUCAUGUUGAAGCUGAAGACUACCUGCUUUAUCUUUGUAACCUUCCUGCCAUUGGACACUUUCCACUGUGGAAUACGUCAGGAUUGAAACCAAACAAUGCAUUUCAGUAGUCUUAAUAUACUUCUGCUGUCUGCUAUCUUAAAGUACACAGCUCAGAACACUCACUAUUGAAGAGUUUUAAACUGUUCUUAUGAUGUCAUCAGCCAAUUAGUGUUGUCAUGAUCUACAAUCAUCAGUCAUAUGACAUUUACAACCCUGAAACAUUUCAAAUCAUACAAUAUGUAAAGAUUGGAAUAUUCAUUUAUUUAAACAAACAAACAAACAAACAAACAAACAAGAAAUAUUAAUUGCUUGAAUAUUGA